rnacentral:rRNA from 1 species
GACGAACGCUGGCGGCGUGCUUAACACAUGCAAGUCGAACGGAAAGGCCCUGCUUUUGUGGGGUGCUCGAGUGGCGAACGGGGGAGUAACACGUGAGUAUCCUGCACCUGACUUUGGGAUAUCAUCAGGAAACUGGGGCUAAUACCGGAUAUGAGCUCCUGAUGCAUGGUGGGGGUUGGAAAGUUUCGGCGGUUGGGGAUGGUCUGGCGGCUUAUCCGCUUGUUUGUGGGGUAGUUGCUUACCAAGGCUUUGACGGGUAGCCGGCCUGAGAGGGUGACCGGCCACAAUGCGACUGAGAUACGGCCCAGACUCCUACGGGAGGCAGCAGGGGGGAAUAUUGCACAAUGGGCGGAAGCCUGAUGCAGAAACGCCGCGUGCGGGAUGACGGCCUUCGGGUUGUAAACCGCUUUCGCCUGUGACGAAGCGUGAGUGACGGUAAUGGGUAAAGAAGCACCGGCUAACUACGUG